AUGAAAUGUACUGUGUAUUUUACUUUUAACAAACAGCUUAAAAUACUUCUAUUUUCUUCCCUUCUAAAGCCAAUGAAGGAGGUUGUGCGAUCUUGCACCCCCAUGAAAGAGUCUACAACUAUGGAGAUCUGGAUUCAUCCCCAACCACAGUCCCAGCGGCGUGUCACAUUUCACCUGCCAGAAGGCUCUCAGGAAAGCAGCAGUGAUGGUGGACUGGGAGACCAUGAUGCAGGCAGCCUUACCAGCACAUCCCAUGGCCUGCCCCUUGGCUAUCCUCAGGAGGAGUACUUUGAUCGUGCUACACCCAGCAAUCGCACUGAAGGGGAUGGCAACUCCGAUCCUGAAUCUAGUAAGUGAUACCUCUCUGGUUCCUCAAUAUAAACGGGCUUACUGUGUUUGCAACUCAAGCUAUCAUAGCCAUAAUAACAUGGGCUAAUUCAUUAUGUUAUUGUGAAUAGUGACACAUUUUUGAAAGGUAAACAUACAGAAUUAGAUGGAUGACAUGUAUAAGGCAGUUUAUAAUAUUUUAAAUGUAUGAUCAUAACUACUCUGAAUGAAAUUUAUUAUAGUGACUUUGUUAAGGCAUAGAUAGAAUUUUCCAUUUAUGUACACCUGUAUAUUUAUUUGUAU
rnacentral:lncRNA from 1 species